AUUCUGGAUGUAUUGAGUUAAACAAAAUAUAUGACAAUUUUCAAGAAAAAGAGAGAGAGAGAGGAAGAGAGCCCCCCCACCCAGUGAGGGUGACGUCAUCUAUCGUGAGUUUAAACCAGAUGUUCACCUGGGCAGGGGCUUCAGGCUGCUGUCACGUCUUAACUACAGUGCUUUGCCCUUUGUUAAGUUACAUUUGUUCAUAGACCCUGAAUGACUCCCAGCCCUAAAGCUUUUAGAACAGCCAUUAGACAGUCAAUGUCUUCUGAGCCGGACAGGAGAUGUGAAUGAAUUAAAUGCCUCCAAGUAAAAGCCAAAACGAAACAAAAUACAUCCACCUGCCAGAAACAAAAUCCCAUUUUCUUUAUUUUUACUAAACCGUGAUUUAAACAUAAACCCGUACAUACAUGUGCGUGCACACACGCAAACACACACGAUGUUUGUUGCUCACUUGGUAAAGAGCUGGAAAUCUGACGUGUUCCAUCUAUAGCUCAGCUCAGGGUUGAGCCUUGUGUUACACAUGAUCAUGUGAGUACGGAAUUUGGCCCUGACUUUUUGGGGAGAGAGAUUUAGAUUAAGUCACAUUCGCAGUGAAAAGCAGCUGUUCACAGGGGCAGAUACGCAGAGUCUUUGAAUAUUGAUUUUUACUGUUAGGGCGACUGGUCCUGAGAGAAUUGAAACAUUCUGGCAUUUCAAUGUCACCGUAUUUGCAUUUUACUAUUUUACUAAAGUUUGGCAGUUUCCACUUCCUACCUUUUUUUUCCUCAUAGUUCCAAUAUUAUUUGAGAAAGGAAAAAAUUAAUCUCUUGGUUCAACAAUCUUAGGAAUGAAUGUGUUAAAGUCACAAAAAGAUAUGCAUUUGUGACAAUAGGUAGUAGCUUUACUUUUCUUUUUUUUGUUUUUUGUUUGUUUGUUUGUUUUUUCCCUUAAGAAACAGAAAGUUGGCAGGUCAGCCUAACAGCCUUUUUGGUAAACUGUCUCCCUCUAGUGAUACAAAUCACUAUUCUUUUAAAAAUAACAGUAAAAAUUGGAUCCUCUGAAAGAAGUAGGUUCUGCAAUCAGAGAAAAGCAUAUCGUUGAAAAAUGAGGUUAACACAGAUACCUGAAAUUUACUUGAGUGCUGUAGCAAGAGGUUUGAAGACUUUUUCCUGACGGUUUUGAGGUAGAUAUUCCUUCAUAUGAUUAUGGUCACUUUAGAAAAGUUGU
rnacentral:lncRNA from 1 species